rnacentral:lncRNA from 1 species
UCAGUGGGCCUCUGAACAAGAGGGGCGUGCAGAGCGGCUUUUUGGCCUCAGUUAACUCUUAAAUGGGUGUCAGAGGCACUGUCUUCCCCUAGCUAUGCGCCUCGUGCCUGGGAGCCUUAGGGCCACACGGAAGGGUAGAAAUCAGUUUCAGAGAUUCCUGCUCCCAGCCCAGGCCCAGACGGCAACAGAAGCUCAUGGAAUGGCAGACUCUGGACAUGCUCCUAGAGAUGGGAGGUCAAAAUGAUCAACGUUCAGGGUCCCUUCAUCUCAGAGGGUCUCGAGUCACCUCAUUUAAAGUGUGGCCUGGGACACCUCCUAUCCAGCCAUACGCCGCCCAGGACUGGCUCAACAGCUCCACCCUCCACUGCUGUUCACCCAUGACACGUCACUUCCCACCCGCCACUGCUGGCUCACCUGUGACACCCCAGGCAGCUCAGAUGCCCGGCAGGUCCUGCUGGUGUGUGUUAGCCGGGGUCUCCAAAGAACCAGAGCCAGCAGGGGACACACCCAUCUCUGUAUCUGGAGAAAAAGAUCGAUGAGAAGGAAUCUGCUCCUGUGAUGAUGGAGGCUGACAAGUCCCGAGAGCCACGUAUUUCCUCAGCUGAGUGCAUGGGGCCAGACCACACUGGGGAGGGCAGUCAGCGUCACUCAGAGCACCGGGUCAUCUCAUGCAGAAACACCCUCAAAGAAAUAGCCCAAAUUAUGCUGACCAAAUAUCUGGGCACCCCGUGCCCCAGACAAGUUGACACAGAAAAUUAACCAUCACAGGUUAACUCCAUCCAGGAGUGGAAUUGCUGGGUCAUAGAGAAGGCAUAGGAAUUCACAGAAAUCACCAAACGGUUUUCAGGCGGUUGUGCCAUGUUAAACUCCCACUGGAAAGAGAGGAGAGCUGUGAUUGUUCCACGUCCUCAGCAACGUUUAGAAUAGGCAGUCUUUGGCCGGGCCGGGCACAGAGGCUCAAACCUGUAACCCCAGCACUUUGGGAGGCCAUAGUGGGUGGAUUACCUGAGAUCAAGAGUUCAAGACCAGCCUGGCCAACAUGGUUAAACCCCGUCUCUAUUAAAAAUGCAAAAAUUAGCCAGGCGUGGUGGUGCGUGCCUGUAAUUCCAGCUACUUGGGGGCUGAGGCAGGAGAAUCGUUUGAACCCAGGAGGCAGAGUUUGCAGCGAGCCGAGAUCGCGCCACUGCACUCCAGCCUGGGCAACAGAAUGAGACUCUGUCUCCAAAAAAAGAAAAAAUAAAUAAAGAAAAGUCAUUCUGUAGUUUUAGCCUUUGUGAAGGCAUGAAGUGGCAUCUCAUUAUGGUUUAAAUGCUUAUUUCGCUGGUGACUAAUGAGGCUGACCAGUUUUUCACUGCAUUUAGCCCUUUCAAUGCACUUCAGGUCUGUGAAGUACUUGUUCAAGUGUAUUGCCCAUUUUAAAAAUUGGUUUGUUUAUCUUUUUCUUAUCAAUUUG